rnacentral:rRNA from 1 species
UACGUAGGCAGCAAGCGUUGUUCGGAGUUACUGGGCGUAAAGGGUGUGUAGGCGGUUGUUUAAGUUUGGUGUGAAAUCUCCCGGCUCAACCGGGAGGGUGCGCCGAAUACUGAAUGACUAGAGUGCGGGAGAGGAAAGUGGAAUUCCUGGUGUAGCGGUGAAAUGCGUAGAUAUCAGGAGGAACACCGGUGGUGUAGACGGCUUUCUGGACCGUAACUGACGACUGGAGACACG